UCGAAUGGCGGGGUCGUGUUCGGACGAGGAUUUGCGUGGCGGUCGGAGACGAAGAGUUAAACUGUUGGUAAAUUUCGGCGAAAGAAAGAAAACGACACGAAAUAGUCGAAAAAUGGCGUUAUUUUUCUCCAAGAAAUGUAACACGUUAAAUUUUGCAUGGGAUGUUAAUUCGUAAUCCGAAGUCGGCUUCGUAGCUGCGAGAAGUUUGGACGACAGACGAGACUUGCACUUUUGGUACUAUAUUUUUUUUAUUGCUUCUAACCACAAUGUAUUGUCUGAUACUGGAUAACAUAAUAGUUACUCAAGUUAAUGCAUAAAGACUUAAAUUUUUAUGGGCUGAUUUCCUACUUCAAUAUCUAUGGUAAGUACUCCUCCCCUACUGUCUGUUUUAAAAUCUUGUAUUUUUAUGCUGUAUUUAAUUAACAAUAAGACUCCACUGCUUCUGCAACAUGCAAAAGAUGAGUAUAUAUUAGUGUAUAAAUAGCUUUCUUAAUUGUCUUAAUUCAUACAAGUCUUUAACAUCAGUAUCUUGGAUUCCAAGGACAUCAACUUUAUCCGUAAGCACCAAAUUUAUAAUUUGUUUCAUUUUAUCUUUAAAUCCAGUGAUAUUUAUAUUCUGAUAUUUGUUCAUUUACCAUUGUUUUUAGUUAAACUCUGUCUUCUCAACUUUUGUACUUUUUUUUUAUAUCCCCUACUGAAUAUGCUUUUUUUCAUUCCUGCUAUUCCUUGUAUUUAUCCUAUUACUUUAUUCAUUUCUGCUACUUUUUGGCUCCCAGUGAUAUUUUCCAUUAAUUCUAUUUGUUUACUUUUUGCUUAACAUCUACUUCUCUUAUUUUCUAAACUAUCUAUCUUUUUCCCACCCUUCUGCCCCAUCUCCUCUUUCACUACCAUCUUCUCUACCUCCUUAGCUUUCCCUUGUUCUUUGAACUCUUUCCUCUGUUUCUUCUGGAAAUAGAGAAGUCCUCGUGUAUUGUGCUCAGAAGAGUUGUCGGGAUAAAUCGUCUGGAUGUACAAUUUUCCAUGCUUUUCCUGUUUUCAAACGAGCAACGGAUGCCGUCAUGGAGACGCAGAUCAGGCAAUGUCAGUAGUUUUGAAACUCGACCGCAGAUUGGCUAGAAAACAUCGUACGACCAGCAGACGUUCGAUAGCGCUACUAAGCGCUGAUUGGUGGUUUUACAUUUGUUUCAAUUCGUAUAAAAGGAGUGAAUUUAGGCGGGAGUUUCAGUUUGUUUAAGACAUAUCCAGGGAACUCAAGUUUGUUUAGCUUCGCCUAAGCUUGCCUAGAAAGUUGUUUCAUCUCGCUGUGUGGUAACCAAUGUCUGAAGGAAUACGUCGCAAGGAGUCCUUUUUGACGGACCUGUUGUUGUUGUUUAAUGGACAUUUGAACUUUGCUAUAUCUGAAUUAUUGUAAUUGUUUUAUUUUUGUGAAAUUCAUAACUAAGUUUUAAUUAUUAAUAUAAACGUUUGUGAUUUGUGAACUAAGUGGUUUUUGAACUGGACUAGAGUAUUGAUACUCAGGGAAAAGAGAAACUGAGAGAGGG